ensembl:lncRNA
ACUCUCACGGUGUUUCAACGCACGGGGGGAAAGGAGGAGCUUAAACUCUGUCUUCUUCGUCCAUCACAGACGAUCUUCGGAGUGAGCGUCACGUUUCCUUUUACGUCAGCACGUUGCUUUCCGCCACCCGCGAGCCUCUUUUCGGCGCACGAGACAUUCCGCAGCGCUGUUCCCUAUUGCGUGCGUGUAUAUAUGUGUGUGCGUGUGCGUGUAUGUGUGUGUGAGUGUGUAUGUGUGCGUGUGAAUGUGUGUGUGUGUGUGUGUGUGUGUGUGUGUGUGUGUGUGUGUGUGUGUGUGUGUGUGUGUGUGUGUGUGUGUGUGUGUGUGUGUGUGUGUGUGUGUGUGUGUCAAAACGAGACGGGGCGAUACGCCAGCAUCGUCUGACGUGGUGUGGGUACCCGGAUGAAGAGGUUCAGGGUUUCAGCACCCCGGACAGCUCAUUUAAAUGAUUGUGGUGCGUUAAUUCUCAGCCGGGAAAUAUAUGCUUUACUUUAAAUGGGAAAAAAUUAAACACUUUGACGGGCUAAAACUGUCAAAGUUAAAAUGGAAUUGAACAGAUUUGGGCGUGUAGCAUGAAAAUAGAAAUUACACAACAACAGAUACUAAUUUUUGUUUGUCACACAAUGCAAGGAGCAGGAUGUGUAGAGCUACGAGCGAGCACUUUGUUGUUUGUUGGUGGGCCAACAUAUGAAAAGGUCUCUGUACCGGCUUCCCUCACAUUGUUAUUUCAACAUAUAUUUUAUACUGUUCAUUACAUGUGUCUAAAUAUCUUGUCCAGGUAAAACAAUUAGAAUGUGUUUUUGUUUGUUACUGGCAUAACAACUUUGUGUUAUAGACACAUUUAAAAGAAGCUCAGCUCAUCGUUGGGCUGGGAUGCACUUUCUGAUUAAAGCUGUCAUCUAGUGGACUGUAAAUGAUUAAUUAGGAAGUAAUCCUCUAUCGUUUUCAGUGGCAAAAAUCUAAUUUAUUUGAUUCAUUAGUUGUACUUAUUACGGUUAUCUGUAUUGGCUGUGUACUUAAAGUGGACAAGACAGGAUGAACUCACCUCCAAGUCCAACACUGGCAAGUUAGUUUUUCAGGGAGCCAAUCAGAGCAGACCGGUGGUCUUAAAGAGACAGUCGCAACACCAGCGCGCCUGAGAAACACGUUACAGCAGAAAAACAAAAUACAACUAUGAAGCCGCAGAAAGAAGAAACAAAACUGAAGUGAUAGUUAUUCUAAAUGUUAAAGAGUGGAACUUUUGUUUUCAAAUGGUCUGCUUUCAUAUGUAUAUUGUGUCUUUGUGUGUCAUCAAAGUCUCAGAUGAUCCUCAUUUGAAUGUCAUACAAUCCCACAGCCAAACGGGACAUUUCCCUUCUGAGAUUUAGAGUAUAAAGUUCCAACAGUUUAAUAUGAUACCUUUAAGGCACAUGCAAAAGAAUCUCCAUCAUCGCACACGUAAACACAAAGAAGAAAAACGCAGAUGGAAUCGCACUCGCACGCAAACCACAGAUAUAUAAAGACCUGCCAAAGCAGAUCGUCAGUCCAGUCCGGAAACCAGCUGAUAGAAGCUCAAGAAGACGCACUGCUGAAAAGUGAGUAUCUGCUUUUUAAAUCGAUGUGUUUGAGUUUGCAAAGAAAACAACAUUAAUGCGCCACGUGUGUAAAGCCUCUCUCAUGUCACAAUGCAUCGCUCUCCUAUUUGGUCCUAAUUGUCUCCUGUUGUCUUCUCCUCAUCGAACCUCCUCAUCAACAGUCAUGUCCCUGAACUCCUCGUCCCCAUUUAACGCCUCUCACCUUCACCCGCACGUCUCCUCCUCCAAUUCCUCCCUCGUCCCGAACAUGGAAGUCUGCUUCAACUACAGAUCCGGCUUCCUCAUCUUCAUUGCCUUCUGCUUCACCGACGUCCUCCUCCUCCUCCCUCUCUGCCUCCUGGUCUUCUACCUGGGCGUCCAAAGAUGGCGGCGACAGGGCUCCAAGGCGGCCAGCCACUGUGAUGUCUUCACCUACCACUUGGUCGCCACGGAGAUGAUCUGCGUCUUCGGGUGCGCCCUCUACUGCUGCGGCGCCUUGGCCGACGCAACGUUGUUGGUGAGGAUCGGCGCGUACGUCAUCUCAGUCGCCACCAACGGGCAGGUUCCCUUCCACAUCCUCACCUGCGUGGAGCGCCGACUGGCCGUCGUUUAUCCGAUCACCUACCUGCGGCUGAGGGAGAGGGGCGGGGUCAGGAUCAGGAAUGUUGCCGUCGGAUGCGUUUGGCUGUUUUUUCUCGGGUUGUUUGGCCUAAACAUGUUUAUGAGCUCCGCCUUUUUCAUUUGUCUCUCGGUGUCCUCCGUAGUCGUCAUCUCUUUCUGCAGCCUCUCUGUUCUCCGCGCCCUGAUUCGUCCGGGGCCGGGGGACGGGGCCGGCGGCCGGGAGAGGGUGGACCAGUCCAAGUUGAGGGCCUUUUACAUCAUCACGGCCAUAUUGGGAACUCAUUUGUUCCGGUUCGGGGGAUACCUGCUCGUCCUGUCAGCCUACAACUCCCUGACGUGGAGCGAGCAGGUCCGCUGUGACUUGUUGCUGGCGGGAGUGUGGUUCGGUUUGCCCGGCAGUCUGGUGUUACCUCUGCUCUAUCUGCACCGGGCAGGGAAACUGCUUUGUUGUAAGAACGGAAAUGGAUCAGAACAGGGAUCAGAGUAGCACGUCCUCAGUUUGCAUACCAGACCUGUCUUCUCUUCCCCAAAGUCCUGGUCCUCGUGAGCCUCCCGUCCCUCCGGGGGAAUGUUCCUCACAGUAGCUUUUGAAGUGAAUGUUUCAUCCCAUUGCAUAGAUGCCAUUGUGUUGUUUCUCUCUCUCCAGAAAAUGACUCCAACAACCCAGCCGUACUAACUAAAUAGUCACUCAGAAGACUGUACUAGUCUACAGCCUGUUUGGAUCCCCAAAUAACAAGGGACGCACACUUACAUGACAGCUCUUUUUAACAUCCACACAAACACAUUCACCAAAAACAGAAAUAUUUACAGUAAAGUAACACACAAUGUGCAUCUGGUUUUAAUGCGUCAUAUUUAUCUCGCUGGUCGCUGAUCUGUCUCCAAAAUGCAAAAAACUCCAGCUUGUGAAGUGAUCUAAUUUUAAAGCAUUUAACAUCUCGAGACACAAAACCUUUCAGUUUAUAUAUUGUAUGUCUGACAUAUUAUGGCAAUAAAUGUUUCUUGAUAAAAA